AAAACGGCUCUUUUCAGAGCCACAACAAUGCAUUCCACGUAAAAG
rfam:Aedes aegypti strain Liverpool supercont1.188 genomic scaffold, whole genome shotgun sequence.